rnacentral:lncRNA from 1 species
AACAAUUUAUUUUUUAAAGACAUUUUUUCCCAAGUUGUCAAAUUUGGGGACAUGAUUACAACAUUCGUUUUAAUCUUUUUCAUGUGAUAUCUAGUCUUGAUAUUGAUCACUUGUGUUAUUCUCUCUCUUUUUUUUUUGUUUGGCCUGGUUAGAGAUAUAUGCACUUUACUAGUGCUUUUCAAAGGAGCAGAUUGAAACUUCAUUUUUUUGUGUUAUUUUUCUGUACUUAAUUUCAUUAUUUUCUGCUUUUCUUUUUCUUUUUUUUUUUGGUGCUGGGAAUCAAACUUGGAACCUUGUGCUUGCAUGGCAGGUGGCAGUACCACUGAGCUAAAUCCCCAGCUUCUUCUGCUUUUCUGUUUAUGAUUUCUUUCAAUUUAUGCUUUCUCUUUAUGACUCCAUUUAAUCUUCACUAUUGUUUUAUUAUUUAUAUUUCUUUAAAAUUUUUAGUGAUAGUGAUGUUUCACAAUAUGCAUCCUUAAUUAAAAAUUCUACCUCCAGGGCCGGGGAUUUAGCUCAGUGGUUUUGCUGCCUGCUGCACAACCGCAAGGACCAGAGUAUCGCCCAGCAGAACUGAAUCAGCGUGGUUGGGUGAGGAAGACCCAUCUGAGGGUUUGAAGCACAGUAGGUCUCUGCAAAUAUUUAUUAAAUGAAUGCACAUGUAUUCAAACCCAGGAGAUGGAGGAGAAAGAUCAGAGGGAGGAUUUGAUAAACAGAAGGCUUCUAAGAAACAGCUUCCAACUCAAAUCAGUCCUUAAAAAUUUUUUAUUUUAUUGUACUAAGAACACUUAACAUGAGAUCUACCCUCUUAACAAAUUUUAAAGUGAAUUUCAAAUUAUUAAAUCGAAAGAUGAUUAAAAAAACAGUUGAAAAGGCACUCAAUAUUCACUCGCUACCUUGGAAACGUGUUAAUUAUCAUUAUCAUAUCAUGUGACUGCUUCGGAUUAAGCGUCUGAGCUGGGCUAAGCACGGAGCUGAGAGCUUUGCACCUAUUCGCUUGUCUGGGCCUCCCGGGAGCCUGGCGUGCAGGUUCUGCCCCCUCCCUCGUCAGAGUGGAGACAAUGGAGGCUGCAGAAGCCUUUCUCCCACUACCACCCUGCCAGGUGCUGCCUCGGCUGAGCAAUGGG